CACACAAAAGACUGUUUCCUGGCCAUUUAGCUGCCACUUAUCUCUCUCUCGUUGCCUCUGGCCUUGUCCAUCUGUUGCCCCUCCAGACAAAGGAUUUCCCAGUCCUUGGCUUAUCUAAGCUUACAGUGGCAAGCCUUACUUCAUUUAUCUUUUUCAGCACCAACAUAGUACUGAAAGCCUAAUACUGAAAACCUCAGCUCUAACCAGGGCCACCUUCCCAAUCCUCAAGCUUGUAAGGAACUCAGAAACCAGGAGAGGUUGUGCCACAUUCACAGAGUCCAAAGGCACUCUGAUGCAGAAGCAGAACCCAAAAUCUCAGGUUCUGGGUGUCCCAGUUUCUGCCCUGUCCUGAAGAGGUUGUAGGAAUGGAGAGGGGCUAAAAGCUACCACUGAGCAAGGAAGCCCCAGAAGAUGAACUCCAGCCUCAAGUUCAUGUCAGGCUUCAUAAUUUCAUGAUUAUUUCUAAACUUGUUUUUUUUUCAAGUUGUUCCCCCUUCAGGAAACUUUCAGAACUUCAAUUUCUCAUUCCCAUCUGAAAGAAUGACCUCUUCUUCUCUUUUGUCAAAUCACAGAUGCUAUAUGAAUUAAAUAAUUUAAUAUGAGACCCAAACUACUCCAGACAAAGAAAAAGUUACUGGAUAAACAACAACAAAAAGAAUUAACCCAGAUUAAGUAUAAAAUAUUUAAAAAUGUGAGGAGGGUAUAGUUCUAUUUUGCUGAGCAACCCAAAAGUGGACAGUUGAGAUUUACUGAGUCAGUCAUUUAAAUUCAGAAAUAAAUACACUAAUCAUUUCAACAUUCACUGUGGAAUGUCCUCUGAAUGCACAUAUACCCAGUUAAACCCUUCACCCCACCUCUCCGGAGAAAGUCCUUAGUAGUCCUCAGAAGCGUGAACCAGCAUUUUUCUGUACAUCAACACUAAAUCCAACUUGUCAGGAGGUGCCAACCUUGAUUUGCACAUCAAGCAAUAUUGCAUGACAUGUAUGAGACCCAAUGUACAGGCUCAGUUCUUCCUGGGCCUUCCACUUCAUCCAUAUUGCUGUAGAAUCCUUGUGCACCCUGAGCUGGAAAAUGUCUUGAGACAGCUCUUAGGAGAUCCAGGUUUAGAUAUCAGGGAGACCUUGGGCCUUCUAGGCACCUUCAGAAAGUUGGUCAGAAUGACAGAGAUUCUGUUACUCCUCUCCAAGUAGUCAAAGGGAAAAUUACCCUAAUUUUAACAUCUGCUAACUAGUAAUUCUGUCAUCUUACAGUAGCACAACAGACCUAACAGGAGGGGAUACUUAUCUCUGAUAUGGCUGUUAAAAAUAAAAUUAAGGAAGCCACAGUAGCCAAAGGAAGAGCACUCAUCACUCUGCUGAGCCCAUGUUAAUGUCUGCAGUGGGAAAUUCUCCAGAUAAGAAGCCCUCCCUCCCUUCACCUGGAUAAUGACACUCUUUAUAACACAGAGCUUGUGCAAAGGGAUGACUGUCAGCUAUAAUCCUAAGUAACAGAUAAUAAACUUGAUAUGAACAUACUGACAGGCGAUGCUCAGGAAAAAAAUAAAUAAAUAAAUCCGACAGCUUGUGCAGAAUGGCUGCAAUCUCUCCAGAUCCAGUGUAGGAGCUUCCACUUGUCAGAGUGGUUCUGGUAGUUAUUUCAAGAGCAUACUAAUUCAUCAUGUUCAAGGGGAGAAAGAAAGCUGCACUUAUUAUAAGAGUUGAGUCUGCAACUGUUGAUGAGUCUUCCUAAACCAGGAAGUAACAAGUUUUUCUUGUUAAUUUACAGAUUACCAAAUUAGCAAGAAAAAGUGAGUUAUUCUACCUGCUUGGACGAUUUUACUUUUAUAAAUAUAUGAAUUUACUAGCAUGUUCUUCUUGUCUGUGUUAUUUUAUUUAUUUAUUUUUGUUAGGAAGUGAUAGAGAAUACAUAUGUGUUAAUGUCUUUCCUUCAUCAAACAACCAUGAAUAUACAUGACCAUAACGUAUUGCUGUUUCCAACUACUUUGUUUUAUGUUAUGGAUAACAUAUUUACAUAAAGCUAAUAUCUGCAAGAAGCAU
ensembl:lncRNA